rnacentral:rRNA from 1 species
UACGUAGGGCGCAAGCGUUGUCCGGAAUUAUUGGGCGUAAAGAGCUCGCAGGUGGCUUGUCGCGUCUGCCGUGAAAGCCCGUGGCUUAACUACGGGUCUGCGGUGGAUACGGGCAGGCUAGAGGCUGGUAGGGGCAAGCGGAAUUCCUGGUGUAGCGGUGAAAUGCGCAGAUAUCAGGAGGAACACCGGUGGCGAAGGCGGCUUGCUGGGCCAGUUCUGACGCUGAGGAGCGAAAGCGUGGGGAGCGAACAGG